CCUACGGGAGGCAGCAGUGGGGAAUAUUGGGCAAUGGAGGAAACUCUGACCCAGCGACGCCGCGUGCGGGAUGAAGGCCUUCGGGUUGUAAACCGCUUUCAGCAGGGAAGAAGCGAAAGUGACGGUACCUGCAGAAGAAGCACCGGCUAACUAUGUGCCAGCAGCCGCGGUAAUACAUAGGGUGCAAGCGUUGUCCGGAAUUAUUGGGCGUAAAGAGCUCGUAGGUGGUUCGUCACGUCGGAUGUGAAAAUCUGGGGCUUAACCCCAGACCUGCAUUCGAUACGGGCGAGCUUGAGUAUGGUAGGGGAGUCUGGAAUUCCUGGUGUAGCGGUGGAAUGCGCAGAUAUCAGGAGGAACACCAAUGGCGAAGGCAGGACUCUGGGCCAUUACUGACACUGAGGAGCGAAAGCGUGGGGAGCGAACAGGAUUAGAUACCCUGGUAGUCCACGCCGUAAACGGUGGGCACUAGUUGUGGGGACCUUCCACGGUCUCUGCGACGCAGCUAACGCAUUAAGUGCCCCGCCUGGGGAGUACGAUCGCAAGAUUAAAACUUAAAGGAAUUGACGG
rnacentral:rRNA from 1 species